GAAGCCAAAGGCCCACGGCCCACGGAAGAAAAGUCUCUCGUUCCUUCCCCCUCCGUCCCUCUUUCUCUCCCCCCUCCCCGUCUCCCACCUGUGUGCCAUAGGUCUCAGAUCUGCCUUUCUGUAGCAACCCUCAUAGAUCAAAAUGUACUAAGAUUGGGGACUAGGGCCAGCAUUUCUGAUUUUGUUUGUCACCACGAAGCCUGAGGUUUGAGGUUUAGUGUCUGAGGGAGCAACCAAGUGUCACUCCUCCGGGUCCCCAAGGUCUCUGGCCGCUGCCAGGGACAUUCUCCCUGGUGUGUGGGAUGGGCCUUAGCGAGGUGGUGUCCUAGCAUUUUCAUCACCCAUAAACUAAGCUCCUAACGGUUUAGAAGGAGUGUGGCCGCGCUGGCGACGUAGCUCAGCUGGUAGACUGCUCAACCUAGCAGGCAGGAAGCCCUGUUUUUGCCUGGGGACAGUGGUGGCCCAAACCUUUAAUCCCCCCCCCCCCCGUAACUCGGGAGGCAGAGGCAGGCGGAUCUUUGAGUUUGAGGCUAGCCUGGUCUACAGAGCGAGCUCUAAGACUGCCAGGGCUACACAAAGAAACCCCGUCUUGAAAAACAAAAUAAAAUAAAAGGAGAAUGCCCUCGAGUUAAGCUGGGGAUAUUGCUCCGUGUGAUUGUUGAGAAACUCGAGUGGAGUCUCUAAGAGAGUCGCGUGAUUCUCAGCUUUUGUUUGCUGCCAACUACAACCCGGGCUCUCCUAGGCCAAUUUCCCUCCCAGGCCUCCAGCAGGCCCUCUCCUGCUGGGCUAAGAGCUGUGACAAUUCUCCCAAAGCCUCAGACAAUUCUCUGACUCUGCCAGGCGCCUGGGACGGAGACAUUUGUUCCAGCUUCCUGUGACUUAACCCCCACACUUUGGGUCCCACACACCAAAUCUCUCCCGGUGUGUGGGCUGAGUCUCAAACCAGACGUGUUUCUUGGGUGCUUUUGGUUUUGCUCCCGUUCCCUCCCUCCCUCUCUUUCCCUCCGACCCUUCAGUUGCUCCCUUCCUUUGCUGGAACCAGAGGAACCAAGGCGACCUCUAUGCGUUGCCAGGAGCGGGGAGCAUUUCAAGGCCUUGCUGGCUGGAGCUGGAAGCACCAAAGAAUGAAUUUAUUUCUUGCUCCUUGGAGGAUCCUGAGACUGAAGCCCAUCUGUGAACUAGCAGAAAUGAAACUGUAGUCUGAGUUCGACCGUACGGAGGAAUUGGGACUCGAAUUCCCUCGAAGAAAACAAAAGAAACAGCAGAUGUUGGACUUCACACAGAGACCAAGGGAGGUUUCCUUCCCAGAGCCCGGUACCAACGCGUGCCCCCUGAAAACCGUGUAGUUUGUUUUAAACCGUGGGCAACGUCGAACCGAGCGCCACAGUGCCAGCGUUUCUGGAGGCGGAUGACUAUUCGGCAGGAAUCGACUCACGAGCCACGCAGUGAGCAAAAAACGAGUUCUGGAAAGAAUCUGAAGCUUGGACAGUUUCCAGUGUCCUGUAAUCGGAAACAGGAGCCAGAGGGAAGACUACAGAAGUCCACGUUGGCCCCAUAGAACGCGCAUCCCUGAUGCAGAUGUGCCCCUGAGUCAAAAGGCAUUGGGUUCGUCCUGCAAAGAGACCCGCGCCAAACGAAAGCGGUGUGCUGCCUGACAGUGUCCUGGAAUUCCCCAAUUCCCCAGGGGGAGCCAGAGGCCACAGACACCAUCUCCCAUCCCUCUGUGACUGAUGGCCCACAGCGCGAGAUCCCCUGAACAAGCAGAAAAAGUGAGCAGCUGGGCGCACCCCAUCCUGUUCAAGAAAGAAUGAAGAACCAAUUAACUAUAAAGGCCGCGCCGGUGUAGCCCCCCCCUCCCACGCACGCACUCUUCCCCCAACCCUGGGCCUUCUACACAUUCAUACAAACCCCAGAACUAGCCCCACACCAAGGGUGGAAUCUUGCCACCGGUCCACCCCAGGAAGAAAUAACUCUUUAAGAACAGUCUCGCUUUUAAAGAAUUGUUCAGUGUUGCAAGCCAAAGCCGCGCCUUUCUCACAGACCUCGGGAAAUAUUUCAGGUCUGGAGACCAGUCCGUGGCUCAUUUUACAGUCACUUCGAAAUUACAGAUCACUCUCCUGUUUCAUUUUUCUUUGGGAAAACAACACCGCCGAGCAAGGAUGAGGAAGACGAAGUUACCCUCGUCAUCUUUAAACCGGCCCAGAAAGAUCGGGACUCAAAUUCUAGGUGACUGAGUGUGUGUGAAGGCUGCAGGUCUCCAAACGAGAGUAACCGUCUUCCUUCUUAAUAUUUUCAUAGCAGCCGUAAAAUGCCCUCUAUAACAGUCGUCUUACUUUUUUAUUCUCUAAAUUUCCGUUACUGCGCGUGUCUGAUAUUUAAAAAUGCAAAAUUUAUUUAGAACGAAACCCGAAAAGUCUUGUGUAAAUUUUUUUUUUGCUAAGUUUGUGAACGAUGAAUGAGGAGGACGCUCUUCAAUUCGGAGUCCCAGUCUUGGCAAGGUCGCCAGCGGGUCUGGGAGCCUAGAUCUGUCAUCCCGAAAUAGACUUGCUGAUAUCCCCCCCCUCCUUCCACAGACCCCCUUCUUCCGGCUUCCCUAAGGACUCCUUCACCCUUCCUUAGAGAAGGGUGGCCUUCGGGAAAGCGGAGGAGGAGCUGCAGACACCUGCUGGGUGCCCAGGAGUUCCCAGUAAGCACAGUCAGCUGAGACAACAGGCUCAGACUGCUGACUGUAAGGCCUGCCACCUCUUAGAUACUUUUGGUGACCUGGUACCCCAAUUCAUUCACGCAUGGUUAUCUCCUUUCUUCCCAUUUAUAUGGUUGAAGUCGCCCAGGGGUAGUAUUAUAACCAAAGACAGAACACCAUUAAUUCCGUAUGGUGAUAUUAAAUAUAUUUAUUCAAUUUA